rnacentral:rRNA from 1 species
AGAGACGCCCGGUCCCAUUCCGAACCCGGAAGCUAAGGCCUGGCACGGCGAUGGUACUGCACCAGACAGGGUGUGGGAGAGUAGCACGCCGCCGCAC